AGCUUCAGUAGCGUAUAUUAAAGUUGUUGCAGUUAAAAAGCUCGUAGUCGCAUUUCUGGCGAGAGGAUCCGGUCCGACCUUUUGGUGGGUUCUUGGGUCUCUUUCGCCAUCCUUGAGUGGUCCGUUCUGGCAUUAGGUUGUCGGAGCGUCAGCCGCUCAUCGUUUACUGUGAGAAAAUUAGAGUGUUCAAAGCAGGCUUAUGCCGUUGAAUAUAUUAGCAUGGAAUAAUAAGAUAGGACCUCGGUACUAUUUGGUUGUUUUGCGCACCAAGGUAAUGAUGAACAGGGACAGUUGGGGGUAUUUGUAUUUCGUUGUCAGAGGUGAAAUUCUUAGAUUUACGAAAGACAAACUACUGCGAAAGCAUUUACCAAGGAUGUUUUCA
rnacentral:rRNA from 1 species